AUCCAAACAGGUUUAUAAACUAACAAAAAAUACGUAAAGAACAUAAGACAUGACACAUAUUAAUUCAAUUACAAAGGCUAUGUAGUGUUCUAUAUUACAACAUUUGCAAAAAUUAUAAAGAGCUAAAGGUUAGUUUAUCAGUAAUACAGAAUUCCAAAGUAACAGGCAUCACCUCUUUUUUUUCAGAUUGUCCCUUUGACCACACUAAACACCACCUUUCUUAGAUACUUGCAGUCUAUAAUUAUACCUAUACGUACGUUGUUUUCUGUCAGUCAUGUAUGAUAUGUUGAGUGUUUUUUUUUUUUUAUGUUGUUGUUCUGUUUUUAAAUCUUUCCUCACAAGGCAGUUGUAGUUCAGCUGCUCAGAGUAAGUGUAAAUAAAAUGAAUGGGUUGAAUAUGUGUUUCCAUACUUUGUGUUGGGAGAACUGGAUAUCCCCAUCCAGUAAUUUAUGCACUCUAAAGCAGUGCUGGAUUAUUCCAAAUGAUCAUAAGUAGAAUUGGGAGAAAUAUGGAAGAUCCUCAUAUGAUGGGUCUUAUGCUCUUGACUUGCAACCUUGUACCACAGUAUGAUUCAUAAAAAACACAAAGGUCUUCACCUGCGUAUAGAAUGAGAAAAAAACAUGCAUCAGAUGAAUCAGAAAGACUAUUGGGCCCUAACAUAUACCAACCAUUUGCACUAAGGAAACAAAAUACAAGAAUUGUUAAUGGGGUUCUGAAAAUGCAUCAUCAAUUGUUUGAUUAUUUGAUUAUUUUGUAAAGAAAACAGAAUCAGAAUGUUCAAAGAUGAUUUGCAAACAAAAGAAGAAAACCCAAGGUUCAGCACCUGUCAACAAGUAAUGAAAUGUACCCUGUCCUAUCUGUCCAUCUGUUCUCCUCCCGGUGACCUCAGCUGAUGAAAGUAAAAAUUCUGUAGUAUGUAAGAUCUAUGACGUCAUAGAUCAUUGGUCAUCCUCUUUCCCAUCUGCAUAGUCUUAUUUAGCUAUAGUGACAUGGAAAGCUUCCAUAGUAUGCAUAAUCUGGGCAAAAUACAAAUGCUUUACCUAAGAAAACACACAAGCAUAAGUAAGGAAUCUGGGCUUGUAAAGUGUCACAGCAAAAUGUCAUUGGUCUUAAAGCUAGCUGAGUGUUCCUGCUGCUGGACACUGGCGGAAUCUCAGCAAAGGCAAAGAUUCUGAGAGCCGUGAUAAGAUAAAGUUUGGAAAAACAUCUGAACAAGUGGUAGUUUGGGUAAACAACAGGAGACAAUUAUCAGAUUUCAGCCUACUUCUUUUGUAUGAGCAUUCAAUAGUGCUCAUAGCAAAUAAAAAGCAGUUGGUUCCAGCA
ensembl:lncRNA